UCACAUGACAUCCUAAACAUUAUUUCAUAGAAGAGUUAAUUCAGCUUUCAGCAGUCUGCAGUCUGUGAAGCAAGGAGAAUAACUCCUGGCUGGUUUAUGGUUUAGAGCAUGAUUGAAUAUACUAACAGGGCUCCGUGAAGUACUCAUUUCAAUAUAUACAAUAUAUUUUUAAAUUAUUUAAUCUCUAUACAGGUCUUAUCCUCUAAAUAAGUGGAGCAUCUCUAUUUCCCUGAAAAAGCAGAGGCAGUAGAGCCCAAAAAUACUGAGACAGCACUGGUGAUCUGAAUCUUGGAAUUUUAUUCUCUGAUUCAACGUGUUACAAACAAACAUAUUCCACCUGUUACAACAAUCUGGCAUAUUACUUUCUUGAUACGUGAUGAUACAAUACCUCUCAGGUUUGCUGAGUAGCAAAGAGAAAUGGCAGUUUGAUGAUCAGUACCCAGCAUAGGAUAAGUAUUGUGGCUGUGUCUGUCUAGGAGAAAUCAGCCAAGAAUUCUAACAAUGUUCCAAAUCCUCUUCUCAAAGAUAUAAUCUGUAGAGAGCAUCUACUUCAUCUGACAAACAUGAUUUCAAUUCAGGAAAAAGCUCGGAAUCAUUCUAUUGGAUCUGACAUCAGCGGUAUCCACACAGCCAUUCUGUGCAAACUCCCUGCUUUUAAAGGUCUUCCCAUCACUGUUAUUGGUCUCACAGAUGAUGAAGUAUGACACUCCAUAAACAAUGAGCUGGGCCUUUUGUAGGCUGCUUUGCUUUUUUUGGCUUCAAACUGCCACUGAAUGUCAAAUCAAUUUGGCUCUCAUUAGAACAGCUUUAUAUGUGCAAAUGUAUUUGUGUCUGGUUGCCACUUUUUUCUAUUUUUGCCUUCUUUUCCCUUUGCUUUUUUUUCUCCUCUCCCUUAGAUGAUGUCAUUUUUCUCUAAUCAAAGCCAACACCUGUUUCUCUAAAAUGGGAGCCUCUGUGUAGAGCUCUUUAUCACAGUCUGAGUACACUCUGGAUGGGCUCAUUAUGAAUCAAGUUCCCCCAGAACAAAGAAGAAGUGCUCUGUUACAGUGACAUUGUACAUCAUAGAGUCUGGAUAAAGUCAAGAGCUGAUGUAACUUUGACUUUUGGCAUCCCAAGAGACUGUCUAGAUAGUACAAGGUGUGUAAGCCCCUGUCUUUGAUAAGUAAUGAACCAAACAAUA